UAGCCUGGAUUCAAGGCAGGUUAGUAUGCCAGACAUGAUUGUUCCCUCUUGCUGAUGGGGUACUGAAUUUGAGGGCUACUCUCAGAGUUUCUGCUCAUCUACGAUAAGAGGAACAAAUGGUCCCCAAAUGGUCCCGAUGAGAUGGUGGGGGAAGGGGCACCGCCACUCAGGUUUGAUGAAGUGUCUUGGCCGUCCUCAGGAUGAAGAUCACAGCUCUCACAGAAGGGAGGGACAGGGACUGUGAUCCUAAAGACAAGAGUUUUUAACCCAGAACCUGGAGAUUACAAUUUGGAAAAGAUGGUUUAUAAAAAGUGAUCAUGUCCACAAAGGUGACAAGAACAUGAACCUGAAGUCCUUUGUCAGUGUGUCUCAGUGUAUUCCAGAAUAUCUUUUUGGCAGUCAAAUCCGCCUCUGGUACCCAACUUAAAAAAAAAUAAAUUUACCACAACUAGAAGGACCUGCAACUAAGAUAUACAGCUAUGUACCAGGGGGGAUUUGGGGAGAUAAAGCAUAAAAAAAAUUAAAAA